rnacentral:rRNA from 1 species
GACGAGCUCUCCAAACGUUAUUCGGUAUCACUGGGCUUAAAGAGUUCGUAGGCGGCUUUGUAGGUGAGGUGUGAAAGCCCUCAGCUUAACCGAGGAACUGCGCUUCAAACCGCAAGGCUAGAGGGAGAUAGGGGUAUGCGGAACAGAUGGUUGAGCGGUGAAAUGCAUUGAUAUCAUCUGGAACACCGGUGGCGAAAGCGGCUUACUGGAUCUUUCCUGACGCUGAGGAACGAAAGCUAGGGUAGCGAACGGG